rnacentral:rRNA from 1 species
GACGAACGCUGGCGGCGUGCUUAACACAUGCAAGUCGAACGGAAAGGCCUGCUUUCCCUUGUGGAUUGCGGGUACUCGAGUGGCGAACGGGUGAGUAACAUGUGAGUGAUCUGCCCCCAACUUGGGUAUAAGCCUGGGAAACUGGGUCUAAUUCCCGAUAGGACUGCAGGGUGGUGCCUGUGGUGGAAAACGAUUUUCUAGUGGUUGGGGAUGAGCUCGCGGCCUAUCAGCUUGUUGGUGGGGUAAUGGCCUACCAAGGCGGCGACGGGUAGCCGGCCUGAGAGGGUGGACGGCCACAUUGGGACUGAGAUACGGCCCAGACUCCUACGGGAGGCAGCAGUGGGGAAUAGUGCACAAUGGGCGGAAGCCUGAUGCAGCGACGCCGCGUGGGGGAUGACGGCCUUCGGGUUGUAAACUCCUUUCGACCGCGAGGAAGCCACCUGGUUGGAAGGGUGGUGACGGUAGUGGUAGAAGAAGCACCGGCUAACUACGUG